CAGCAAGCCCAGGAUAAGGUUCAGCUUAAGUAAUGGAGGCAUGAUCAUUCCACUUCCGGACAGAACAGUCUUUGAAGAAACUGUAAGGAAGACUUGUGCAAAUAAUGGAAAUUUUGGUUCAGUGGCUUUGCAUUGCAAGGUGAAGAAGGUGCAAAUAUCUUUAAGAUCAGCAGAUAGCAGCUUGCAUAGAGGCUCGAGCUUACCCUGGAGUACCUGAAGGGAGUUGAUGUGACCAUCUUGUACUUUUGGGUGUGAUCAUCAGCUGCAGAUGUGAAGGUGUAUGACUUAUCUUCUAGAAACAUCAGGCAAGAACUGAAAACUGAGACUCAGUGGAUAAAGGUCCCUGGGACAAUUGAGAACCAACUUGACAGACGGUCAAAAUAAAUCUUCGUGCAGGAGCACAGAGCUGUUCCAAGUAGCCUUCUAUGGACAUUGCCUUCAUCCUAUUUUUUGAUAGGGCAGUUUCCACAGUUACCAGCUCUUCUGUUUGAGGUUUCUGUGCUGUCUCCUAUCUGUAUUACUGAACAUAGCUCUUCCAUUAGUUAAAUGCUACAAUCCCUGUCAUGGAGAAUAUCACAAAGAAUAAGAAUUUGGCAAAGGUUUUAUUUGAGCUAUUAUUAUCUGUGGUUAUUCUGUACAGAA